rnacentral:rRNA from 1 species
CGCGGCCUAUCAGCUUGUUGGUGGGGUAAUGGCCUACCAAGGCGACGACGGGUAGCCGGCCUGAGAGGGCGACCGGCCACACUGGGACUGAGACACGGCCCAGACUCCUACGGGAGGCAGCAGUGGGGAAUAUUGCACAAUGGGCGAAAGCCUGAUGCAGCGACGCCGCGUGAGGGAUGACGGCCUUCGGGUUGUAAACCUCUUUCAGCAGGGAAGAAGCGAAAGUGACGGUACCUGCAGAAGAAGCGCCGGCUAACUACGUGCCAGCAGCCGCGGUAAUACGUAGGGCGCAAGCGUUGUCCGGAAUUAUUGGGCGUAAAGAGCUCGUAGGCGGCUUGUCACGUCGGAUGUGAAAGCCCGGGGCUUAACCCCGGGUCUGCAUUCGAUACGGGCUAGCUAGAGUGUGGUAGGGGAGAUCGGAAUUCCUGGUGUAGCGGUGAAAUGCGCAGAUAUCAGGAGGAACACCGGUGGCGAAGGCGGAUCUCUGGGCCAUUACUGACGCUGAGGAGCGAAAAGCGUGGGGAGCGAACAGGAUUAGAUACCCUGGUAGUCCACGCCGUAAACGUUGGGAAACUAGGUGUUGGCGACAUUCCACGUCGUCGGUGCCGCAGCUAACGCAUUAAGUUCCCCGCCUGGGGAGUACGG